GAUUGCCUACGGGGCGCAGCAGUGGGGAAUAUUGCACAAUGGGGGAAACCCUGAUGCAGCGACGCCGCGUGAGUGAAGAAGUAAUUCGUUACGUAAAGCUCUAUCAGCAGGGAAGAAAAUGACGGUACCUGAGUAAGAAGCCCCGGCUAACUACGUGCCAGCAGCCGCGGUAAUACGUAGGGGGCAAGCGUUAUCCGGAUUUACUGGGUGUAAAGGGAGCGUAGACGGCGU
rnacentral:rRNA from 1 species